CAGCAGCCACGGUAAUACGUAGGUGGCAAGCGUUGUCCGGAAUUAUUGGGCGUAAAGGGCUCGCAGGCGGUUUCUUAAGUCUGGUGUGAAAGCCCCCGGCUCAACCGGGGAGGGUCAUUGGAAACUGGGAAACUUGAGUGCAGAAGAGGAGAGUGGAAUUCCACGUGUAGCGGUGAAAUGCGUAGAGAUGUGGAGGAACACCAGUGGCGAAGGCGACUCUCUGGUCUGUAACUGACGCUGAGGAGCGAAAGCGUGGGGAGCGAACAGGAUUAGAUACCCCCGUAGUCCCUGUCUCUUAUAA
rnacentral:rRNA from 1 species